rnacentral:rRNA from 2 species
UGCAAGUCGAGCGGACAGAUGGGAGCUUGCUCCCUGAUGUUAGCGGCGGACGGGUGAGUAACACGUGGGUAACCUGCCUGUAAGACUGGGAUAACUCCGGGAAACCGGGGCUAAUACCGGAUGGUUGUUUGAACCGCAUGGUUCAAACAUAAAAGGUGGCUUCGGCUACCACUUACAGAUGGACCCGCGGCGCAUUAGCUAGUUGGUGAGGUAAUGGCUCACCAAGGCAACGAUGCGUAGCCGACCUGAGAGGGUGAUCGGCCACACUGGGACUGAGACACGGCCCAGACUCCUACGGGAGGCAGCAGUAGGGAAUCUUCCGCCAUGGACGAAAGUCUGACGGAGCAACGCCGCGUGAGUGAUGAAGGCUUUCGGAUCGCAAAGCUCCGUUGCUAGGGAAGAACAAGUGCCGUUCGAACAGGGCGGCAC